rnacentral:lncRNA from 1 species
UUAAGUUGUUUAACCAGCUAGUAUGUGGCAGAGCUGGGAUUUGAACCCAGGUACUCUGUUUUCAGAACUUAGGUUCUUUUUUCCUUUUUUUUUUUUUUUUUUUGAGAUAGGGUCUGGCUCUGUCACCCAGGCCAGAGUGCAGUGACACGAUCUGCCUCCCAGGCUCAAGCCAUCCUGCAGUUUAAGCAAUACUGUUAAGAAUACCAGUGUGUGGGCUGGGCUUGGUGGCUCAUGCCUGUAACCCCAGCAUUUUGGGAGGCUGAGGCAGAUGGAUCACCUGAGGUCAGGAGUUCCAGACCUGGGCGACAGAGUGAGACUUUGUCUUAAAAAUAAAUAAAUAAUAACAGUGUGCGUCAGCUCAUGCCUGUAAUCCAGCACUUUGAGAGGCUGGUCUCGAACUCCUGACCUCAGGUGAUCUGCCUGCCUCGGCCUUCCAGAGUGCUGGGAUUACAGGCAUGAGCCACUGUUCCUGGCCCCACCAGUGUUUUUUCUAGCAAAAAAUUC